ensembl:lncRNA
GAAAUUUUCUGUUUAAGGCUUGGCCGCCUUCUGUAGUCUAUGAGCUUUUCAAGAACAGGGCACACAUUGUUAGCAUGGAAUUUCCAGUGACUAAUGCUAAGCUAGAACAUAUUUGUGGUGGUGAAUUUUAUGUGUCAACUUAACUGGACCACAGGAUGCCCAGACUUUUAGCCAAACAUUAUCCUGUGUGUGUCUGGGAGACUGUUUCUGGAUGACAUGGACGUUUGAAUCCAUAGACUGAGUAAAGCAGAUUGCCCUCCCGAAUGGAGGUAGGCCUCAUCUAGUGAGGUGAAGACGUGACUACAAUGAAAAGGCUGAGUAAGAGGGAAUGCGUCCUACCUGACUUGUUUGAGUUGGGACCAUGGUCUUUCUCAGCCUUCAGACUCGGACUGAAACAGCAGCUCUUCUUGGAUCUCCAGCCUGCCGACUUUCAGCUUGGAACUUAUGCCAUCAGCUCUCAUGGUUCUCAGACCUUCAGACUUGAACUAGAACUACAAACCAGUUUUCCUGGGUCUCCAACUUGUGGACUGCACAUCUUGGGACUUCUCAGCCUCCCUAAUUGUCAUCUUCUAUGGGCAUCGGUAGCUUUCCCCACCAAAACCAGGACCCAGGGCUCCAACAUACGACACAUAAGGACAACCCAUGAAAGAUUUGAAAAGUGUCGAUUUGAAUAUGUUUCUACUGUGGAAGACGGCUGCAUACCCUAGGUAAAAAACAACAGCAGAAACAAAAUUACUUCAUCAUUUGUCUGUAAGUUGUACAUAUUUGAUACUUCUCUUCUAAAUAUGGCAGCAUGCUUAUCUUAAGAAUAAGGCCUUUUAUAUAACCACAAUAAUUAUCACAUCUACAAAAUUAAUAAUAAUCUCCUCAUAUUGGCUAAUAUCCAACCCAUUAUCAAUUUUCUCUAAUUUUCAGUAGUCAGGAUUUCUGUAUGUUUUUUUCAUUGCUGUAUCUCUGACAGCCCAAACGGUGCCUGGCACAUAGUAAGCCCUCAAUAAAUAAUUUUUAAAUGGGUGAAUCUACAUCCCUGAUUAAAUUGAGUUUCUUAAAGGCAGAAGGUUGUAUUAUAGAUCUGUUUAUCCCAAGUCUUAACAUGGUGCCUGGAACAUGGUUGGCGCUUCAUUAAAUGUUUGUACAAUUUCACUGAAAGGAAGGACACAUUGCAUAAAUCAUAGUUUUGGGAGUUGAAGUGACAUAGAACUAAGGCAUAUUCAGAGAAGAAAUAAUUGAGGAAAGGCAAGGAAAGCUAAUAUGUUUGAAGAAGAGAGCUUGGAUCCAAGUCUUAAAGGAAAUAGUGUCACUCAGCGUGGCACAGAGGAAAUCUCUAUUCCACAGAUGCAGAUAAUCUUUUCUGACCUUAGGCAGUUAUCUCACAAAUAUAAGGUCUUGAUCCCAAAGGAGAACCUGUAACAAGCAAAGAAGGUUUAAUUUCUGUCAUCACUGUUAAAGAAAGCUGCUCAAGACCAUGCCGUAAGGUAGAGAAAUAAAUAACAUUUUCAUGGAUGAGAGAUGGCAACAUUUUCAGAAUAUUUUAUAUCAGACCAUAGAGUAUAAUC